CAACACGUUCCACCAUUCACAUUCAAAAUGAAAGAUAUGCUAUCCAGUUGUGACCCUGGUUGGGUUAAGAAGUUGAUCGCGGUUGACUCUCUCUGGUUAAAGUUAAACUCCCAAGUCCCAAACCCAAGCAGUCAAGCACGUCUCUCCCUUCUAUUUAUUCAUCUUUUUUAUCCCCUUUGAUUCAACAAUUAACCUGUGAAGGAAAAAACAGACACCAAAGGUUGAAUUUUGUAGCCUCUCUUUACAAAAAGAAGAAGAAGAAUCUGUGUGGUGUGUUUGUCGGAGAAAUGGCAUCAUCGGAGGCAGCAACAACCAUCAAGGUUAAUGGUCAUUCUCACAACAAUAACAACAUCAACUCCUCUUCGGAGCUGACAACAAUGUUUAUUCUUCAUCUUCUUCCUCCACCUCACCCAAAGACGCGGAAGCUGCACUUUACAGGGAGCUAUGGCAUGCGUCUGUAGGUCCUCUUGUUACAGUUCCAAGAGAAGGAGAAAGAGUUUUCUAUUUCCCUCAGGGACACAGAGAACAGGUAAAUCACACAAAAAAAAAAAAAAUCCAUGCUUUAUAUUCAUAAUUUUAUUUCCAUCUAUGCUUUACUGUGUUCGGUUUUGAAAAAAUCCCAAAAAAAAAGUUACAAAUUUUCUACUGGAGCUUGAGCUCAGAUUUGGUCAAAAUUUGCAACUGUUUCACUUAAGUUUUCUCCAAGUUGAGCUAGAUGACUUCGAUUUCUUUUUUUUUUAAGAAAUAAAAGAAAAUUCGUUUUUAGGUUUUAGUUAAUUGGCUAGUUUUAAUUUUAGUUUGUGAUUACUGAAUGCAAAUAUUCUUAGUAGGCUUACAUUAAUUUUGGUAUAUAUUAUUACACGUGGUUUGGACAUUAAAAUACCAGUGGAUUUAGUUUAUGUUAUGACUAGAUUUGUGACUGAAUUAUUAUCUGCAACUAAUAAUUAUAUGUUAUUUAAUUUAUCCUAUGGAUUUCUUUUAAUACCCUUCCAAUUAUAAUUCAAAUUGAGGAAGUGUUUAUAAUUAUUCCCAAUGAAUGAGAAGUGUUGUGUUCAACAAUUCUCUCUUUGGUACUAUAUUCAGAUAAGAUGCGUUCGUUGAGCAGGAAUCUUCUUCCAAAAAAUUUUUGAAUUUUAAAUUUAUCCUUAAAUAUCUUUUUUUGCCCAGAGAAUUUGGUUAUAUGAUCUGUUUAUAGAUGCCUUCAGAAUACAAUAAUUUGACACAAAUUUUUUUUAUAUAUAUAAUGCUUUGCUGUAAACACAGCCUUUCAAUUUUCUCAUCUCUUUUCUUCUAACAAGUAACAAUCAACAAUGGCUUCAAUGGCACCGUCUUCUUUUAGCACCUUCUACACCAUCCUCAAGUUUUAAGAAAUCCAGUUCAGGUAGUUUGAAUCUAUUUUUCUGCUUUGAUUGGAAAAAAAAACCUGCUACUGUUCUUUGUUCUUGUGAUUAUGUCAAUGUUAUGUUGCACUGGUUGCAUUUAUAUAUUAAAUUCUUGGUUAGUUUCAUAACUGUUAUUUUAUUUUAUUUAUAUCUCUGGUUUUUGCAUUUUAGUUUGUGUUCAAAUUAUAUAUUAAUUACUCCCAUUUGUUCUUGCUGAUGGUCAUAAUAAUGAAUUUUUUUUAUUUUUCCUCUCAAAACAAUCAUCUUACCAAUUUCAAAUUUCAAAUGGAUGCAUCUGCGUUGCUUAUAAAUUUAGAUGUUUAUUUUUGGUUCUUUCAAAUGGAUCCUCAAAUUUUUAAAGUCUUUGUUAAUAUUUUGCUUGUUUCCCUACUCGAUCACUUUAUAUUGAAAACUCUAUUUGAUUAUGUGCUUCUAUUUGAAUAUGCAACACUGGAAGGUUCAGUAAAGAUGAGGUUGUUAACUUUUCCUUUACUCUGAUGAUUUUCCUUCAAUGCCAUUAUUAUUUUAAUGACAUCUCAUUUUCUUUUCACUCCUUCAUUCUUCAGGCUAGAUAUUUCUUUCAGCAACUAAUUUAUGGUGUCUAUUGCUAUCAUGCCAUGGUGAUAAUCAUUCCAACGUCUUUAAAGGCAGCAUAAGUUGGUUAUAAGUGUAACUAAGAUUAUUAAAGGUUUGAAAUUAGCCAUCUGGAAUUGGUCUUUAAAGAUUGUUGUAUGAUAAAUUCAAUUGAUUUAGAAAAAUUAAGUCAAUCAUGCUCCUUAGAAUAGCACCUUAAAGACGGUUAUGAGACAAGUCAAUAGAUUUCAAUGACCUCAUGUCUCUAAUUAUUUCAAAAAUUUUGCCAAACAAAUUGUUGUAGGAGAAAUUGAGUCUAAUUAAUCUUGAAACGAAAGAUAUUUCAGUAUGAAUUAAUCCAGACAAUAAAUUAUUUGAUAAGUCCAAGUUGACUACAUAUAUAAAAUUAUGAAUGUAAUCAAGUUCUCUUCUUGCAUCAAAGGAAGAUAAUUUGAUUACAUUCAUAAUUUUAUAUAUAAUUUUAUAUAUGUAGUCAACUUGGACUUGUCAAAUAAUUUAUUAUCUGGAUUAAUUCAUACUGGAAUAUCUUUCCUUUCAAGAUUGAUUGAACUUAAUUUCUUCUAGAAUAAUUUGCCUGGCAAGAUUCUUAAAAUAAUUAGAGAUGAAGUCAUUAGAAUCUAUUGAUUUAUCUUAUAACUAUCUUUGUGAUGCUUUUUAAAGAGUAUGAUUGACUUGAUUUUUUUAAGUCGCUUGAAUUUAUUAUACAACACCUUUUAAGAUCAAAUAGAAACCAGUUUCAAAUCUUUAAUGUUCUUGGUUACACUGUCUGUGGAGCUCUACUUACAAAAUAUUGAUCUGAUGAUGGUCCUCAUCAUGUUCCUAAUUUUAAAGGCUAUGAAAAUGAAGACAGGGAAAAUGGCAAGCUAGACAAAACAUUGUUUUAUUCAAUUACAUUCCUUAGCUUUGCAACUGGUUUCUGGAAAAUGAUUGGGUUUUUUGUAUUUCAAAAAGAAUUGGAGGUAUGUUUGCUUUGUAUAUGUGGAGAAGGUUGUUGGAUCUAUGUUGCAGUUGUCUUGAAAGUAGUCAUGUUUGUAGUUUUGAAGAUUGAUUUCCACGCUCUCAUCCAUGUAGCCGUUCUUAAUCUUAAAUAAGAUUGUUGUGCUUCUAGAUCAUUAGAGUUUGUAUUUAAA